rnacentral:rRNA from 1 species
AUUGAACGCUGGCGGCAGGCCUAACACAUGCAAGUCGAACGAGUGGCGGACGGGUGAGUAAUGUCUGGGAAACUGCCUGAUGGAGGGGGAUAACUACUGGAACCGGUAGCUAAUACCGCAUACCAUCGGAUGUGCCCAGAUUGGAUUAGCUAGUAGGUGGGGUAAAGGCUAACCUAGUCGACGAUCCCUCGCUGGUCUGAGAGGAUGACCAGCCACACUGGAACUGAGACACGGUCCAGACUCCUACGGGAGGCAGCAGUAGGGAAUAUUGCACAAUGGGCGCAAGCCUGAGAGAGCCAUGCCGCGUGUAUGAAGAAGGCCUUCGGGUUGUAAAGUACUUUCAGCGGGGAGGCGUUACCCACAGAAGAAGCACCGGCUAACUCCGUGCCAGCCGCCGCGGUAAUAC